AUGUGCCAAUGGGCUUCUCAUGUUAAGAAACACUCAUCAUACCUAAUGACUAUAGAAAUAUCAAUUGAUGCAAGUAUAUGCUUGCUUGCCAGUACCAUGAAAUCUCCAGACGUGGAAGCUAUGAGACGUCAUCAUCAUCACCUUCGUCAGCUUCAGUCACCAUCGUCAUCUUCCGCAACUCCUCAUCAACAAAUCUCCACCGAAUCAGCGCAUCAACCAUAUUCAUCGCACUUUAUUCCUGUUUAG